AUCGCUUCUCAGCCUUUUGGCUAAGAUCAAGUGUAGUAUC
rnacentral:snRNA from 1 species